CCUUGGUGAUAAAGGCAGAUUCUUCUGCCCUGAAAAAUUUCCACACUGGUCUUCUAUCAAGAGGAACUGUUGGCAUGAUGGGGAGAAGUUUAGAAAGGACCUUCACCAGCAACAUGUUUUGUGGAGAUAAGAGUUCUGGAAUAAAGUGAAUAUUUGUUGCGCCCAACUGCUCCAGCCAUGCUGCCAUGCCCCAACCUCUUACUUCACUCCUACUCUUAAAAUAGUGUCAAUAUUUUGCAAGGAAAAUCAAAAGAUAAGAAAAUGGAAACAAAUAAGCUGGAAUGAUGUAUGUAAACUUAAGAAUGAAGUCCAUUGGAGGCAUGGGUAGUAUAAAACAUAGUAAGUAAUUCAUAUAUGUAUAUAUAUAUAUGUGUGUGUGUAUAUAUGUCAGAUAAGUAUAUAUAAUUAUAGCUAUCUCUCUCUAUAUCUAUCUAUCUAUCUAUCUAUCUAUCUCUCUAUCUA
rnacentral:lncRNA from 1 species